AAUGAAUCAGACGGGAGCAAAGGAUGAUCUCCAGUCGGCUAAAUUUGUUUAGAGAUAAAACUGUCGGCGUUUUUUUAUCAAUCUAUCUAAACAUGUGUAAUUAUAGAUCGUCAUGCGAAAAUUGUAGUUUGGUGAUGAUCAAAACGGGAAAACCUCACACCAGCCCUAUUCUUCUUAUUGCAACACAAUUCAAAAUUUUGACUUACGUACUAUUUGUACGACUUAAAGUCAACAGUGCAUCCGUUUAUGAGUUUAUGUCUUAAUUACGUUUACGUUUGAGAUUUUAUAACGCUGUAUUCAAUAAACAAACAUCGUUGUGCGAAUGUUUAUUCAGUAUAAUUGCAUUUUUUAUUUUUAAUUAAAUUAUGAAAAAUCCCACUUAUUUUAUUUAUUGCAUAAAAUGUAACAUCAUAAAAUAUUUUUGUUCAUACUGAAGGGCGAUGUGCAUAAAUGUUAUUCCAGAAUUAAUUACUACCGUUUAUGACAUCGUCAUUUGUAAUAAAUAUUUUUAAUUUAAUUGCUGUAAAAUUAUUACUGAAAAUUUUACACUGGAUGCGUUUAACUGCUUGACAUUUGACUCAGCAAAUUGCAUCAUUUUAUAAAAUUUAUAAAACCGUCCAGCAAUAACCUACUUCCUGACCCAUUUGCUGCAGAAAUAUGCACUUAUACAAACAACCUGUCCUUCUGGGCUAACAAUAACCCGCCGCUUUAUUUAUAAAUAGAAAGUUUAAAACGGUAAAGUUUACUUUCAUCCACCUUGAAGAAUCCUUGAAACACACUUUAUCCGCAUUAUAAUUUUAAUUGUGAUUUUAGUCGGACUUGAACUAAAAUCUCGCGAGUCCUCACAGUUUCAUGCUUGCCGAUAGGGAAUUCGCUACAUUGUAAAACUUUACACGUUGGAACAUCUUGCAGGAUUAAAAACUGAAACCUAUCCUGCACAAAGCAAACUUCACAGAGGCAGCGGUGCGCUCCAUUCUUUGAUUCCUCGCCAAAAGAGCUCCGUAAUUUUUAUUUUAUUAAAACGAAACUUAAACAGAUAAUUAAUUAACCAAAAGCUUUGCCGUACAGCAAUGUGCUUUUUUGAGUUUCCGAACGACUGGCUCAUGUUUACAAGUGGUGCUUCGGCGAGUGUAAACUAAACCAAGUUUUUUACAAAGUAAUUAACAACGGUUUAUAUAAAGGGAUUUGCGGGUUUAGAACGGUUUUGUUUAAACUAAACCCGAAUCCCGCCGCGAUAUUUAAAUUCACGAUGGUAGGUGAUGCGGAAUUACAUCGGGGUAUUUUUACUUUUGCAGUCCCAGUUUGCUUACUUUUGAAGACUAACUAAUUACAUUUCCCGCUGAAAUGUGUAUAUUCCAAGCAAAUAUUUGCUACUCAUACCAAUGUCUUUGUUAAACUGAUUUUUAGGCUGAGAUUUAGUUUCACUCUCCUAAUAUCAAAAAAAUAAAACUUUUACGAACAUUUUUUGGGACUAGAGUGAUGAAGGAUUCAGUUUUCUUUACCAAGGGGUAAAUUACCUAAUACCUCGUAUUCCUGCUACUUAAUAGGGGUCAAAAUAGUGCUCUUGAUAUAUUAGGUAAAUUAAGAGUCUUGUCUUGUCUAAUCGCGCUUUGCAACUCAAUAUGUGUGCUCUGCAAAGGCCAACCCCGUCUGCGCCUAAAUGCAGUGCAAAGCCCUCACUCGCCACAAAGAGAAUUUCGAAAACAUUCAUAAACGCCCCACAAAGUGUAAAGUACGAAAAUUCAAUCUCCGUUCCUCUUUUUCCUUAAAACCACUAAAUGAAUUUGGUAAUAACCCCGAUAAUGAGUACCGGCAAGUUAUAAACCCCUGGUGACUGUUUCUAAUUUAAUUUCUGGUUCGGUAUUCGUGAUCGAGUCGAAUUUUAAGACCAAUGGUUGCCUGUUAAUAAUUACUCGGCUUCCUUAUGACUCGACGUAAUGGUUAAUUGAAGUCGUGAUAUUGGAGUGGCUGUUUAAGGGUGAGGUAAGUUGUACAUUACGAGUGUUUCACUUUAUUCUAAAUAUAAAUUGAAUCGAUGAGUUAAUUAAAAACAAGCAAGGUUCCGCAUAAUGGCAGUUUCAAUUAGCUGAGUCGAGGUUUGACCCAAGCGGUGGGGAAUCCCCAUUACAACAACAACGCUAUCAUACCAAUGCAUAAAUCGGAUCAUAAGUGGAAAGGCAAGGGAGAUUUUUAGCCAAGUUUAACCUUUUCUGGCGCAGGAUUAAGCCAUGUUUUACUUACCAAUAAUAUACGAAAAUUCGGGACGUGACGGUCUACUACAAACGCACUGUGAAUUAUUCAUAGCCUAGAUAUGAACAUGAAGUCAUUUUCAUCAGCUACAUGUCUAAUCAAAUUACCACUGCCAUUUGCAAUAAAUCGCUCGCAGUUUAAUUCGAUUUAAUCCUCACAUUGUGGGAAUUAAGGAUGGUUUUAACGUUUUCUGCCAGCUUCGGGUUAGGAAGUAGUUUUGCCCUUUUGUCAGCGGUGCUUUUAUUGACAAAAUAUGCUGAAUAAUGCAGUGAUUCUGUUUUGAGUUCAUUUGAUUUGUUAAUUAUUCCACAAAGACGUACGAGGAAGUUUGAUAGCACCCAAGGACUACAACUACGCCAAAUUUUAAAAAUCAGUGAGUCAAAACUAAGCCCAGUAGUGUCACGAAAAAUUCUUCCUUGUUAUGAAUAAUAUGUAAAUUUUACUUUAUGUUCCAAUAAUUUAUUAAAAAUUCACGCGUCACCGCCAGUCUAGUUUUAGUAGAAGAAAAUAAAAAACUGGAAGGAAGGUAGACGAGAGUCCAUGUGUUUAUCAACAAUUUUAACUGCCCGUUUAGCAUUGAACCAUUAGAUUGGGCGGCCACGGUCAUGGAAUAAAUUGGAGUGGAAAAAUGAGCUUGAUUUCUAAAUUUUAAUGUGCGAUUCCAUUACUCUAAUUGCUGGUUUAGCAACUAGCAGUGGUCACAUUUUUUAAUUACUGUUAACAGAUAACUCAUUUUCGUGCGCAAUAAUGUUGGUUCUGUUGGAAAAUCAAAGCCUUUUACGCCACGUCGUAUAAUUUUAGAGUUCCAUUCCGGGGACCAUUCGAGAGAAACUUAUUAACAUGAAUUUAUUGUUAAAUGCGGUCUGUGCGAAUACAAAGUCGUUUGUUUCGGGAUUCAAUUUCGUGUUUAUCAUGACAUUUGACCUACAAAAACAUAAAAUUAUCCAUAUCCGAGGACGACGCAUAAACCGGAAGGAGAGAGCUAACCGACUGGGAAAAGGGUUGCAGUUUUAUGAAGAGGGUUUUUUACGUUGCCAUAAUUACGCGAACUUUAGUGUUGCCUCUCCCAAGACAAAUUCGCGGCUGAGAAGGUCAAUAUCAUUGCUAUGCUCAAAAACGAUACCAUUUACAUAAGUUCAAUGUUACAGUACUAAUAAUGACGUUGUAGGCAAAGGAUAAAUAUUUAAACAGGUCUUAAUGAGCUGUGAAAAUGUUUGCGAAUUUGGAUAAUAAUAAGUUAACGAGAGCAACGUGUCUGCGGUUUUUGGAAUAUUAUUUAAAGGUGAUGCUUAACAAGAAAAGUUUUGCUCCAAUUUCUAAAGAGCUUUGUUCGGAGCUCCGUAUCAUUUACACAAAACUGUUCCACAGGAGCACGUAUGGAAACACGUAUUAGUAAUGUCGUGAGUACAGACAUCUUCUCCACCUUGACAUAGUUUCUCUUAUUUAUCUUGUCCAGUUCUGAACAAAUAUACUUUUCGAAAAAUGUAUUAACUUAAGAUUUGUUUGAUCUAUUGCGACGUUUUAAAAUUUAGUUUUAUGUUGAGAUACAAUAAAAUGCUUUCGUAAAUUG